CGCCUCUCUCAAGAUGGCGCCUGCCCUUCCCGGCAGCCCCUGCUCGAAUCACCGAGCGGCGGCGUUAGCGGUUGCGUGCGAGUCGAUGUACAGUAUUGAGGAAUUGGAGCAAUUUAUGGCUGUGAAAUAAUCUCAAGUUAUGUGGCCUCCUCCUUGACUCUGGAACUGCAGGAAGUGAUUCUAACUGCUCUAGAUAAUUUUCUCCAAUAACUGACUGAGCUCGUCAACUGAUCGAAGUAUUGUCCCCAGGUGAUAUCAAAUGCAAUCUCCACAGUGGAAGAGAGUGGUCCAGUUCGGUCCUUAAUCUUUCCAGGUACCCACUUUUGAUCACCACUGCAGUACCUCACCAAGAAUGCUUACUGAUCAGGACAUGGAGUGCAACCUCAAAGAAAGUCAGCUCCUUCGUUCUGCUGUUUGGCAAUGUCUUCUAGGUCACAUUUAGAAUCCACUCAAUAUUAAAUGGAGUACCUCCUGGUUAAGAAGUAGCAGCUGGUUGGAGGAGGUGCAGGAGCUUCAGGACCUACACCACCUGGUUCAAGAACAUUUAUUAACUCUCAACCAACAGGCUCUUGAACCAAAGGAGAUAAUUUUAUUCAACUUCACUUGCCCAUUAUUGAAUUGUUACUGCAACCUAUGGACUCGCCUUCAAGGACUCUUCCUCUCAUGUUCUCGAUAUUUAUUGUUUGCUUGCGUGCUUAUUUAUUUAUUGUUUCUUUGGUUUUGAUUUGCACAGUUUGUUGUUUUUUGCACACUGGUUAAAUGCUCAAGUUUGUGUGGUCUUUUAUGGAUUCUAUUAUGGCCUUAUUAAGUAUGCCUGCAAGAAAAUGAGUCUUAUGGUUCUGUAUGUGUAUCUUGAUUAUAAAUUAACUUUGAACUUUAAAUAAUGUGAAUGUACAUGGCAGAUUAGCAAUAAAUUAUGGUGAUCUUGUUGAUAGUGAAGUCAAAUACAAAAAAUUGCAAGUAGAUCUUGAUCAGUUAAGGAAAUGAGCUGCAGGGAAGCUUUA